GUAAUACAUAGAUAAUCUGUCCUCAACUUGGGAAUAACGGUUGGAAACGACCGCUAAUACCGAAUGUGGUAUGUUUAGGCAUCUAAAACAUAUUAAAGAAGGGGAUCUUCGGACCUUUCGGUUAAGGGAGAGUCUAUGGGAUAUCAGCUUGUUGGUGGGGUAAUGGCCUACCAAGGUUUUGACGUCUAGGCGGAUUGAGAGAUUGACCGCCAACACUGGGACUGAGACACUGCCCAGACUUCUACGGAAGGCUGCAGUCGAGAAUCUUUCGCAAUGGACGAAAGUCUGACGAAGCAACGCCGCGUGUGUGAUGAAGGCUCUAGGGUUGUAAAGCACUUUCGCUUGGGAAUAAGAGAGAUUGGCUAAUAUCCAAUCGAAUUGAGCGUACCAGGUAA
rnacentral:rRNA from 1 species